rnacentral:rRNA from 1 species
CAUCCGGUCGAUCCUGCCGGAAUCGGACGCUCUCCCCAAGGACACAAGCCAUGCAUGCCCGCACACCCGGGAAGCGGCGGACGGCUCAGGACAACGGUUGCACCCCCCGCGGCGGUCCCUGCUAGCCGGACACCGCUGGCAACCCGGCGCCAAGACGUGCGCGCAAGUGCGGACGCCCGCGGGCGAGCAGCGUGACGCAGCGACGGCCCGC